rnacentral:piRNA from 1 species
UCCCUGUCAGCAUAUGCUGGACCAGUGUGC